CAGGCAGAAUGAAUGUUAUUUAACGAGAAAGGGAACAGUGACGAGGACCAAGUGUGCAGCGUGAAGAUGAAUGACAUCAGUGUGAACGCCGACAUCGCACAAGGCAGAAAUUCCUCUUUCAACGGUGACCUUGCAGCGGUGGAGGGAUAAAGAAUUUCCAGGGAGGCAUUAGAUGGGACUACCUCAACUUCAGGGAAGCUGCUGUGCUCUGGAAAAACAGUAGAUGAUGCCCAAACAAGUCACACUGAUUGCUGGCUUCUCAGCCAACAUCCAUUCUCUUCGUCCUUAAGGAAUCCAGUUUUAUUUGGGACAGCACUGCGCUCAGCUCGAAGCCUGCCCUCCUAGCCCCUGUGGCACAAGGCCAUUAAGUGUGAGCAGACCUUGAGAAAGCUGUUAGACUUGCUUCCCUGCUUUAUGUGGAAGAGCCCCUCCCCACCCUUCAUCCCACGGGGAGAACACCACACCAUAUACCGAGCCUGGACCUCGCUCUCGAGACUCAAAGCAGGAUCUUGGAUUCAACAAUCCAGGGUAUUGCCGCUUCCGUGCAUUUCAAGAUAAGAAUGCCUGAAACUGAACUCAGUUUGUUUAUUCUUUUGCAUUUUCUGCGGCUUUAAUGGCAUCAUCUACCACCCCAGUCAGCUCAAUCAGAAACGUGU